rnacentral:rRNA from 1 species
AGAGUUUGAUCCUGGCUCAGAUUGAACGCUGGCGGCAGGCCUAACACAUGCAAGUCGAGCGGAUGAGAGGAGCUUGCUCCUCGAUUGCGGCGGACGGGUGAGUAAUGCCUAGGAAUCUGCCUAGUGGGGGACAACGUUUCGAAAGGAACGCUAAUACCGCAAACGUCCUACGGGAGAAAGCAGGGGACUUCGGGCCUUGCGCUAUCAGAUGAGCCUAGGUCGGAUUAGCUAGUUGGUGAGGUAAUGGCUCACCAAGGCGACGCGUGUGUAGCCCAGGAGGAUGAAGUCACACUGAACUGAGACACGGUCCAGACUCCUACGGGAGGCAGCAGUGGGAAUAUUGGACAAUGGGCGAAAGCCUGAUCCAGCCAUGCCGCGUGUGUGAAGAAGGUCUUCGGAUUUAAAGCACUUUAAGACGACACGAGCUGACGUAGAUUAAUACUCUGCGAUUUUGACGUUACCGAAAGCUCCGGCUAACUCUGUGCCAGCCCGCGGUAAUACAGAGGGUGCAAGCGUUAAUCGGAAUUACUGGGCGUAAAGGGCGCGUAGGUGGUUUGUUAAGUUGGAUGUGAAAUCCCCGGGCUCAACCUGGGAACUGCAUCCAAAACUGGCAAGCUAGAGUAUGGUAGAGGGUGGUGGAAUUUCCUGUGUAGCGGUGAUGCGUAGAUAUAGGAAGGAACACCAGUGGCGAAGGUAUCUAUCUGGACUGAUACUGACACUGAGGUGCGAAAGCGUGGGGAGCAAACAGGAUAGAUACCCUGGUAGUCCACGCCGUAAACGAUGUCAACUAGCCGUUGGGAGCCUUGAGCUCUUAGUGGCGCAGCUAACGCAUUAAGUUGACCGCCUGGGGUACGGCCGCAAGGUUAAAAGUCAAGAAUUGACGGGGGCCCGCACAAGCGGUGGACAUGUGGUUUAAUUCCAGUAAUUCCGAUUAACCUUACCAGGCCUUGACAUCCAAUGAACUUUCCAGAGAUGGAUUGGUGCGUUCGGGAACAUUGAGACAGGUGCGCAUGGCGUCAGCUCGUGUCGUGAGAUGUUGGGUUAAGUCCCGUAACGAGCGCAAGUCUUAGUUACCAGCACGUUAUGGUGGGCACAGACUGCCGGUGACAAACCGGAGGAAGGUGGGGAUGACGUCAAGUCAUCAUGGCCCUUGCCUGGGCUACAACGUGCUACAAUGGUCGGUACAGAGGGUUGCCAAGCCGCGAGGUGGAGCUAAUCCCACAAAACCGAUCUAGUCCGGAUCGCAGUCACUCGACUGCGUGAAGUCGGAAUCGCUAGUAAUCGCGAAUCAGAAUGUCGCGGUGUAUACGUUCCCUUGUACACACCGCCCCACACCAUGGGAGUGGGUUCCAGAAGUAGCUAGUCUAACCUUCGGGAGGACGGUUACCACCGUGUGUUCAUGACUGGGGUGAAGUCGUAACAAGGUAGCCGUA